rnacentral:rRNA from 1 species
AAGGUUUCCUGCGCAACGCUAAUCGGCGCAGGGUGAGUCGGCCCCUAAGGCGAGGGCGAAAGCCGUAGUCGAUGGGAAACCGGUUAAAAUUCCGGUACCGACUCUUACUGCGAUGGAGUGACGGAGAAGGCUAGGCUAGCAGGGCGAUGGUUGUCCCUGUUCAAGCGAGUAGGUAGGGGAAUUAGGUAAAUCCGGUUCCUCGUUAAUCUGA